rnacentral:RNase_P_RNA from 1 species
CGAGUAGACAGGAUGGUCGCUGGCUGACGCGUUCGCGCGGCGGCGAGAGGAAAGUCCGGGCAUCACAGGACAUGGUGCUGGAUAACGUCCAGCGGGGGUGACCCCAGGGAAAGUGCCACAGAGAGUAGACCGCCCUCCGAGCUCUUCGGGGCUUCGAGGGUAAGGGUGAAAGCGUGAGGUAAGAGCUCACGGCGGCCCNGGNGUGACCCGGGGCGGCGGUAAACCCCACCUGAUGCAAGAGUUCUGGAGUUGGCCCUCGGGCCUCGGGUGUCCGUCCGCGCCUCCAGAGUAGUUCGCUCGAGCCCUGAAGCAAUUCAGGGCCUAGAUGAAUGGCCAUUGCCGGCGAGAGGGUGACCGAUCGGCGGUACAGGACCCGGCUUACAGGCUGCUCGGGCU